rnacentral:sRNA from 1 species
AGGGGAGGCUCCUAUAUUAGAUAAAUGCUACUGCUCAGAAACAUCGAAAGAUGCCAAUGGGUCAACAGGUAUUGCCGAGUUAAGGCUUUACUUAACGUAGCUGAGUUAAGCUCAAAGCUAUAUAGUGCUAAAACCA